rnacentral:rRNA from 1 species
GUGGGGAAUAUUGGUCAAUGGGCGUUAGCCUGAACCAGCCAAGUAGCGUGAAGGAAGACGGCCCUACGGGUUGUAAACUUCUUUUGAAGGGGAAUAACGUGCUCCACGUGUGGGGCAGUGCAUGUACCUUUCGAAUAAGGAUCGGCUAACUCCGUGCCAGCAGCCGCGGUAAUACGGAGGAUCCGAGCGUUAUCCGGAUUUAUUGGGUUUAAAGGGUGCGUAGGCGGCUUUUUAAGUCAGCUGUGAAAUGUCGGCGCUCAACGCCGUCACUGCAGUUGAAACUGGAGGGCUUGAGAGUGCAAGAGGCAUGCGGAAUUCAUGGUGUAGCGGUGAAAUGCUUAGAUAUCAUGAAGAACCCCGAUUGCGAAAGCAGCAUGCUGGGGCAUAUCUGACGCUGAGUCACGAAAGUGCGGGUAUCAAACAGGAUUAGAAACCCUUGUAGUCC